rnacentral:rRNA from 1 species
CGGAGGAAAAGAAACCAACAGUGAUUGCCUUAGUAGCGGCGAGUGAAGCGGCAAAAGCUCAAAUUUGAAAUCUGGCACUUUCAGUGUCCGAGUUUGUAAUUUGAAGAAGGUAUCUUUGGGUCUGGCUCUUGUCUAUGUUUCUUGGAACAGAACGUCACAGAGGGUGAGAAUCCCGUGCGAUGAGAUGUCCCAGACCUAUGUAAAGUUCCUUCGAAGAGUCGAGUUGUUUGGGAAUGCAGCUCUAAGUGGGUGGUAAAUUCCAUCUAAAGCUAAAUAUUGGCGAGAGACCGAUAGCGAACAAGUACAGUGAUGGAAAGAUGAAAAGAACUUUGAAAAGAGAGUGAAAAAGUACGUGAAAUUGUUGAAAGGGAAGGGCUUGAGAUCAGACUUGGUAUUUUGUAUGUUACUCUCUCGGGGGUGGCCUCUACAGUUUACCGGGCCAGCAUCAGUUUGGGCGGUAGGACAAUUGCAAAGAAAUGUGGCACUGCCUCGGUAGUGUGUUAUAGUCUUUGUCGAUACUGCCAGCCUAGACUGAGGACUGCGGCUUCGGCCUAGGAUGUUGGCAUAAUGAUCUUAAGUCGCCCGUC